GUUUCGGUAGCAUAACUGGAUAAUGCAACGGCCUUCUAAGCCGUCGAGUGAGAGUUCAAGUCUCUCCCGAAACA
rnacentral:tRNA from 1 species